UACGAAGGGGGCUAGCGUUGCUCGGAAUCACUGGGCGUAAAGGGCGCGUAGGCGGUCAGCACAAGUCAGUUGUGAAAUCUCCGGGCUUAACUCGGAAAGGUCAACUGAUACUGUGCGACUAGAGUGCGGAAGGGGCAACUGGAAUUCUCGGUGUAGCGGUGAAAUGCGUAGAUAUCGAGAGGAACACCUGCGGCGAAGGCGGGUUGCUGGGCCGACACGUGACGCUGGAGGCGCGAAAGCCAGGGGAGCGAACGGG
rnacentral:rRNA from 1 species